CCUACGGGUGGCUGCGGUAAGGAAUAUUGGUCAAUGGACGAAAGUCUGAACCAGCCAUCCCGCGUGCAGGAUGAAAGCCCUAUGGGUUGUAAACUGCUUUUAGCAGAGAAGAAAAGCUUCCAUUUAUGGGGGUCUGACGGUAUCUGCAGAAUAAGCACCGGCUAACUCCGUGCCAGCAGCCGCGGUAAUACGGAGGGUGCGAGCGUUAUCCGGAAUUACUGGGUUUUAGGCGUGCUAUGGCGGAGUAGGUGAAAUCUUGUCGCUUAACGAUAAAAUUGCCAAUGAUACUGGUACUCUUGAAUUGGGUUGAGGUUAGCGGAAUGUGACAUGUAGCGGUGAAAUGCAUAGAUAUGUCAUGGAACACCAAUUGCGAAGGCAGCUAACUGGGCCUUGAUUGACGCUGAGGCACGAAAGCGUGGGUAGCGAACAGGAUUAGAUACCCCAGUAGUC
rnacentral:rRNA from 1 species